rnacentral:rRNA from 1 species
GUAGUCCACGCCGUAAACGAUGAAUACUAGGUGUUGGGCAGCAAAGCUGUUCGGUGCCGCAGCAAACGCAAUAAGUAUUCCACCUGGGGAGUACGUUCGCAAGAAUGAAACUCAAAGGAAUUGACGGGGACCCGCACAAGUAGCGGAGCAUGUGGUUUAAUUCGAAGCAACGCGAAGAACCUUACCUAAGCUUGACAUCCUUUUGACCUCUCCCUAAUCGGAGAUUUCCCUUCGGGGACAGAAGUGACAGGUGGUGCAUGGUUGUCGUCAGCUCGUGUCGUGAGAUGUUGGGUUAAGUCCCGCAACGAGCGCAACCCUUGCCUUUAGUUGCCAGCAUUAAGUUGGGCACUCUAGAGGGACUGCCAGGGAUAACCUGGAGGAAGGUGGGGAUGACGUCAAAUCAUCAUGCCCCUUAUGCUUAGGGCUACACACGUGCUACAAUGGGUGGUACAGAGGGCAGCCAAGUCGUGAGGCGGAGCUAAUCCCUUAAAGCCAUUCUCAGUUCGGAUUGUAGGCUGAAACUCGCCUACAUGAAGCUGGAGUUACUAGUAAUCGCAGAUCAGAAUGCUGCGGUGAAUGCGUUCCCGGGUCUUGUACACACCGCCCGUCACACCACGGAAGUUGGGGGCGCCCGAAGCCGGAUUGCUAACCUUUUGGAAGCGUCCGUCGAAGGUGAAAUCAAUAACUGGGGUG